rnacentral:rRNA from 1 species
CCUACGGGGGGCAGCAGUGAGGAAUAUUGGUCAAUGGACGAGAGCCUGAACCAGCCAAGUAGCGUGAAGGAUGACUGCCCUACGGGUUGUAAACUUCUUUUAUAUGGGAAUAAAAUGUUCCACGUGUGGGUUUUUGUAUGUACUUUAUGAAUAAGAAUCGGCUAACUCCGUGCCAGCAGCCGCGGUAAUACGGAGGAUCCGAGCGUUAUCCGGAUUUAUUGGGUUUAAAGGGAGCGUAGGCGGGUUUUUAAGUCAGUUGUGAAAGUUUGUGGCUCAACCGUAAGAUUGCAGUUGAAACUGGAGGUCUUGAGUGCAGGAGAGGUAGGCGGAAUUCGUGGUGUAGCGGUGAAAUGCUUAGAUAUCACGAAGAACUCCGAUUGCGAAGGCAGUUCACUGGACUGCAACUGACGCUGAGGCUCGAAAGUGUGGGUAUCAAACAGGAUUAGAUACCCGUGUAGUC